GGCUCGCCCUGCCCCCUGCGCCUUUCCCAUCCCCUGCGCCAGGAACAUCCCCGGCAGCGCUGGGGGGGCUGGGACGCUCCGAUAACCAACUGGUUUGAACUGGUCGGGCCGUGCGAAUUCCUGCGUCUGACGGAGAGGACAACGAGGAUGAGUGUGAGCCUUCAUCCAAAGACCACCAGAAGAAGAAUGAAGACCCCCCAGCAACAAGUGAGGCGUGAAUUAGUGACGGAGAAUUUAAGAACUGAAAGUGGGAGGAAACUUAGAGCAAACAUCAAUGAAUAUGUAUAAGCAUAUAGUAUAUAAAUAUAGUAUAUAUAUUUAUAUAUAUAGUAUAUAAAUUCAGUUUGAAUUGCUUUGUUUUGUAUGUGAGGCAGGGUGAGAAGCCCUCUCCACACCCCAGUCACUUUUGUUUAUGUUUUAAUCAUAAUUAAUUACUAACAAAUUACAUAUAUAUAAAUUGUGUAUUUUUUUUACUAGCUUGUGUUCAUUUAUAUCAAAUCGAUAUUCAAUUCAUUAAAUUGUAUUCUUUCACUGAAUUGUAUUAAUUUUUAAUUAAAUUGCUGUUAAUUCAACAGA